GAUGAACGCUGGCGGCGUGCCUAAUACAUGCAAGUCGAGCGAAUGGAUUAAGAGCUUGCUCUUAUGAAGUUAGCGGCGGACGGGUGAGUAACACGUGGGUAACCUGCCCAUAAGACUGGGAUAACUCCGGGAAACCGGGGCUAAUACCGGAUAACAUUUUGAACCGCAUGGUUCGAAAUUGAAAGGCGGCUUCGGCUGUCACUUAUGGAUGGACCCGCGUCGCAUUAGCUAGUUGGUGAGGUAACGGCUCACCAAGGCAACGAUGCUUGGCCGACCUGGGGAGGUGAUCGGCCACACUGGGACUGAGACACGGCGCAGACUCCGACGGGAGGCAGCAGUAGGGAAUCUUCCGCAAUGGACGAAAGUCUGACGGAGCAACGCCGCGUGAGUGAUGAAGGCUUUCGGGUCGUAAAACUCUGUUGUUAGGGAAGGACAAGUGCUAGUUGAAUAAGCUGGCACCUUGACGGUACCUAACCAGAAAGCCACGGCUAACUACGUGCCAGCCGCCGCGGUAA
rnacentral:rRNA from 1 species